UCGUGUCACCUAAAUACUAAUUUAUUUAAUCAGAAGAUAACGAGGACGGAGCUCUUUAAACAAAUCUCUCUAAACAUGUUGCGAGAAUUCAAGCUUACAGAGGGGGCAGAAGAGACAUGUGGAGAAUGGGACCCUGCAUCAGAGUUUUAAACAUACAGUGACAUUUACAUUUCAGACAAGUUGUUUUCCAGAAAGAUGUUGGUGGAUGAGGCUGGCAUGCAACGUCUAACUACAACCUUGCUGCUGUGUGGUGAACGACCUGGCACACUGUGGCUCCUGUCGCAUCAUCCAGGUGGGGCUGC